rnacentral:rRNA from 1 species
UGGCGAACGGGUGAGUAACGCGUGAGGGACCUGCCUCAAAGAGGGGGACAACAGUUGGAAACGACUGCUAAUACCGCAUAAGCCCACGGGUCGGCAUCGACCUGAGGGAAAGGGAGCAAUCCGCUUUGAGAUGGCCUCGCGUCCGAUUAGCUAGUUGGUGAGGUAACGGCCCACCAAGGCGACGAUCGGUAGCCGGACUGAGAGGUUGAACGGCCACAUUGGGACUGAGACACGGCCCAG